rnacentral:rRNA from 1 species
UACGUAGGGUGCAAGCGUUGUCCGGAAUUAUUGGGCGUAAAGAGCUCGUAGGCGGUCUGUCACGUCGGCUGUGAAAACCCGAGGCUCAACCUCGGGCCUGCAGUCGAUACGGGCAGACUAGAGUUCGGUAGGGGAGACUGGAAUUCCUGGUGUAGCGGUGAAAUGCGCAGAUAUCAGGAGGAACACCGGUGGCGAAGGCGGGUCUCUGGGCCGAAACUGACGCUGGAGGAGCGAAAGCGUGGGGAGCGAACAGGA